CUGGGCGUCCCCACAGCCGCUGGUAUCGACUCCGAUGAGCUGGCCGGCGAGCUGGCCUUCGAGCUUGAUGAGAACCUCCCCCGUGUCGAAGUUAAACCAUUCGAGCAAACCUGCUCAGGAUAACAAUACUACAAGUAGGACUGAUGAAGCAGAUUGCCUGCAUACCAUGUUUCUUUUGGAUAUGUAAGAUGAUAUGUUAUCUAUCUAUAUGUAUAUAUAUGCAUAUGGUUUCAACUUACUUUUGUGUGUCAUGAUGCUGUCAAAAUUCUGUCAAAUUCUUAUUCAUAUUCUUGUUGAGAUGUUGUAAUAGCAAAUAAGGGUAUAUUCACAAAGUUUUAAAAAAUUUGGGG